UACAGGGGGGUGCAAACGUUGCUCGGAAUCAUUGGGCGUAAAGCGCACGUAGGCGGUUCGUUAUGUCGGAUGUGAAAGCCCUUGGCUUAACCGAGGAAGUGCAUCCGAAACUGGCGAGCUAGAGUACGAAAGAGGAUCGCGGAAUUCCCGGUGUAGAGGUGAAAUUCGUAGAUAUCGGGAGGAACACCGGUGGCGAAGGCGGCGAUCUGGGGUCGAUACUGACGCUGAGGUGCGAAAGCGUGGGGGAGCAAACAGG
rnacentral:rRNA from 1 species